UGGAGCAGAUGGAUGACCGUCCCGCACAUAACUUAUGUGAGGGGAGGAAAGUCCGGACUCCAGAGGGCAGGGUGCUUCCUAACAGGAAGGAGGGGCGACCCUACGGAUAGUGCCACAGAAAAUAUACCGCCCCAGAGGCAGGGGCUGGGGAUUAGAGGCUGGAGACUGGUAAAUAUUUUUACAAGCCCCUAACCUCAAGUCUCCAGUCCCUGUCUUUUGGGUAAGGGUGAAAAGGCGAGGUAAGAGCUCACCGCCAUGGUGGUGACAUCAUGGGCAUGGAAAACCCCACCCGGAGCAAGGCUAAAUAGGAAGGCGAUGGGACUGCCCGUCCGAUGCCUUCGGGUAAGCCGCUAAACCUUUAUGGCAACAUAAAGGGUAGAUAAAUGGUCAUCACCUGAUUAAACGGGGGACAAAAUCCGGCUUAUAAUCUACUCCAGCAA
rnacentral:RNase_P_RNA from 2 species